rnacentral:rRNA from 1 species
AAUUGUUCCUCGUUAAGGUAUUUACAUUGUACCCAUUCCAAUUACAAGUUCCUCAUCGGAACCUGUAUUGUUAUUUCUUGUCACUACCUCCCUGUGUCAGGAUUGGGUAAUUUUCGCGCCUGCUGCCUUCCUUAGAAGUGGUCGCCGUCUCUCAGGCGACCUCUCCAGAGCCACACCCUAAUGCCCUGUCAUCCGUUACGACCAUGGUAGUCCACUACACUACCAUCAAGUUGAUAGAUCAGGUAUUUGUAUGAACCGUCGCCAACGCUAGGUUGUGCGAUCCGAGAAGUUAUUAUGAUUCACCAAUGGCUAGUGGUUUCCCACUAGGCUGGUUUUGCGACUAAUAAAUACACCCCUUCCGUGAAGUCGGGGCUUGUUUGCAUGUAUUAGCUCUAGAAUUACCACAGUUAUCCAUGUGGUGGUACUAUCAAAUAAACUAUAACUGAUUUAAUGAGCCAUCCGCAGUCUUGCCUUGCUAGGGCUUAUACUUAGACAUGCAUGGCUUAGUCUUUAAGACAAGCAUAUGACUA